rnacentral:rRNA from 1 species
AACUGGGAUUAGAUACCCCACUAUGCCUAGCCGUAAACAUAAAGGAAAUUUUAUACGUCCUUCGCCAGGGAACAACGAGCCCCAGCUUAAAACCCAAAGGACUUGGCGGUGCUUUAGACCCACCUAGAGGAGCCUGUUCUA